CUAUUUCUGGUUUUUGUUUUAUUCAGUCCCACAACUGAAAACACCCUCUCAGCAUCAGCAUCUGAAUGGGGCAACACCAGGACCAGCUUGGCGACGGCAGCAAGCCUCUGAAAUUCUUUGGCUCCUGUCACCUAUUGAAAAUGAACCAAGAACAAAAUGGAAACGCAUACCAUAUUUUGUUUUGAUUAAUACUGUAACAAACUUCAGAUACAACAUGCAUAGUUUGCAUCAUGUAUGACACAAUAAAUGCAUGCAUCAAUAAAAGCAACAGAUGUAGUCAAGCCACACCUGCCAAAAAAAAAGUAUACUUUAUGUUUCCGGGUUGCCAUUCCAGCCCAGAAGCUUUCCAUAUCCGUUUCUUCCUGAAGGGAGGUUGUUGGCAUUUUCUGAUCAUUUAAAAACUCCUCACCCAGGUGGUCAUGCUCCUCUGGCCCAUGGUAUGGGAGGAGAUGGGGGAACCUAUUUAUGUAAGUAGAUUACAGGUGGUUUAGUUAUAGGUAUAUUGUCUUUAACCAGCAGCAGUUCAUAUACAUCUUUAAGGAAAAGCCAUAUAAGAAUAAAUCAUGUGCAGUUUAGGAGUGAACAUACCUCAUCAUAAGCAUUUUAGCUAAGAUGGUAGACAAUAAUUAAAGAAAAAAAACUAACCUUUCAACAAAGUAAAGGACAUCUUCAAUGCCGCUUUCAGCCCUCUGCCGCACAUCUACAAAUUUUGAGUGUUUGAUCAUUGGCUCUUCCAGUGGGAGCUUCCUAAGUGCAUGAACCCAAUGUGCAACGUUUUCCCUGUACAGAUACAGCAUAUCAGGUUAACAUGAAUGGUUUAACAUACAGCUAGACACAUCCAUUCCAACCAGAAAUCCAACCAGAAGCUCAUUGUUGGGAGGACUACCACAAACCUCAGGUUUCUACUCAUGAAGUGGCAAAAGACCAGGUACAAGGCUAAAUAUCACAUUUUAUCUAUAACAUGUCACAGUGUAUGAUCAUAAUGAUAGUCAAACACUAACCUGGCAAAGGGUUUGCCUUCUCUUCAUAGGCAAUAACACAAGGCUCCUCAUGGCCUUGCAGAGCUGCUGGAACCCAACAUUUUGAACACAGCUUGCGUACGAAUAUCACCAUCUAUGACCGACAUUUACAGAAAUAUUAUUAGAUCCCUGCCGAUAUCAGCAAGAAACACAGAAGGGAAAAACAGCAAGAUCCAAACCCACCUCAUCAUGUAACAAAUAUGGCUGACUGCCGUCUCUGGAGAAGCAAGUGGAAGUCAGUGAAGGUUGGUACGGUGGCUUGGUAGAAGAGCAGGUACACUUCUGUCAUGGGGUCAGUGAAUUCCUGCACAAAUCUGGCCUGAUUUUCAUCUUGAAUCAAUUAAUAAAUAACACAAAACAAGAGGUUGUCAAUAAGUGUGUGACUAACAAUCCAUGUAGUUGCUGCAUAAGGAAAUUGAAAAUUGAUGACCAUGCUUGCAGAUUUGAAGUAGCUCGCGAGAGGUUCGUAAAGCCUCAGAAUUCGUGUCACGCAACGUUCAAGGCUUAGCCAACGAACUGACAAAACACAAUCACCACAGAAAGCCCCGUGUUCAAAGCCAUACAAUGUGUUUAUAGUACAUGAUACAGCCUACAAUGCACUGCAGGCCUACUACAGUAUACAAUAUUACAGAAAAAGGGACACAAACCAAAGGAGUCAACAUGUCAUCAAUGUGCUUCUUCUGCUCUUUGGGCUCAGUCAGGCCAGAGCACUUUGUCGCCAUCACAAGCAAUAUUUUCUCUCCUUAGGCAACGGGGGAAGAAGCCUCUUGUGUGAUGGAUCCAGCCCUGACAUGAUUCCUCAUCACCACAGGCUGAUUCCAUGGCUUGCAGCAGAUCUACUCUGGUGCAGGGUUGUCUAUCAUACACUGUCCAUCUC
ensembl:lncRNA